rnacentral:rRNA from 1 species
GUAGCGGCGAGCGGAACGGGAAAAGCACAAACCAAAGAGCUUGCUCUUUGGGGUUGUAGGACUGGGACAUGAUGACUGCAAUGGAUAGCAGAGGCAACUGGAAAGUUGCGCAACAUAGGGUAAUAGCCCCGUAUGCGAAAUCCAAAUCAGCUCUACCAGUAUCCUGAGUACGGCGGAACACGAGAAAUUCCGUCGGAAUCUGGGAGGACCAUCUCCCAAGGCUAAAUACUCCCUAGUGACCGAUAGUGAACCAGUACCGUGAGGGAAAGGUGAAAAGCACCCCGGAAGGGGAGUGAGACAGUACCUGAAACCGUGUGCCUACAAGUAGUCAAAGCCCGUUAAUGGGUGAUGGCGUACCCUUUGUAGAAUGGACCGGCGAGUUACGAUUUCAUGCAAGGCUAAGUUGAAAGGACGGAGCCGCAGCGAAAGCGGGUCUGAAUAGGGCGAAUAAGUAUGAGGUCGUAGACCCGAAACCAAGUGACCUACCCAUGUCCAGGUUGAAGGUGCGGUAAUACGCACUGGAGGACCGAACCCGCGCACGUUGAAAAGUGCGGGGAUGAGGUGUGGGUAGCGGAGAAAUUCCAAUCGAACUUGGAGAUAGC